rnacentral:ncRNA from 1 species
UUCGACCCCGCUGCAUCCUCCAUGCAGCUCUCUGCACGCCGUCGCCGAUUCAUUCCUAUACGAACUCGUUCGCGAUCCUGUCGCCUUCUCUGCGGCGCGGC